AACGAACGCUGGCGGCAGGCCUAACACAUGCAAGUCGAGCGAGGACUUCGGUCCUAGCGGCGGACGGGUGAGUAACGCGUGGGAACGUGCCCUUUGCUUCGGAAUAGCCCUGGGAAACUGGGAGUAAUACCGGAUGAGCCCUUUUGGGGAAAGAUUUAUCGUCGAAGGAUCGGCCCGCGUUGGAUUAGGUAGUUGGUGGGGUAAUGGCCUACCAAGCCGACGAUCCAUAGCUGGGUUGAGAGGAUGAUCAGCCACACUGGGACUGAGACGCGGCCCAGACUCCUGCGGGAAGCGGCAGUGGGGGAUCUUGGACAAUGGGGGAAGCCCUGAUGUAGCCAGGCCGCGUGAGCGAUGAAGGCCUUAGGGAAGUAAAGCUCUUUCAGCUGGGAAGAUAAUGACGGUACCAGCAGAAGAAGCCCCGGCUAACUCCGUG
rnacentral:rRNA from 1 species